AUUGAACGCUGGCGGCAGGCCUAACACAUGCAAGUCGAGCGAGCGGCGGACGGGUGAGUCAUGUGUAUGUGACUGCCUGUUGGAGGUGGAUACCUGCUGCGAGCGCUAGCUCCUACCGCAUACCAUCAGACCUGCGCCGAUGGGACUAGCUGGUGGGUGGGGUACCGGCUCACCUAGGCGACGAUCCCUAGCUGGUCUGAGAGGAUGAUCAGCCACACUGGAACUGAGACACGGUCCAGACUCCUACGGGAGGCAGCAGUGGGGAAUAUUGCACAAUGGGCGAAAGCCUGAUGCAGCCAUGCCGCGUGUGUGAAGAAGGCCUUCGGAUUGUAAAGCACUUUAAGCGGGGAGGCGUUACCAGCAGAAGAAGCACCGGCUAACUCCGUGCCAGCAGCCGCGGUAAUAC
rnacentral:rRNA from 1 species